rnacentral:rRNA from 1 species
CCUACGGGGGGCUGCAGUGGGGAAUUUUGGACAAUGGGGGCAACCCUGAUCCAGCCAUGCCGCGUGAGUGAAGAAGGCCUUCGGGUUGUAAAGCUCUUUCGGCCGGGAAGAAAUCGCUCAAGCUAAUACCUUGGGUGGAUGACGGUACCGGAAGAAGAAGCACCGGCUAACUACGUGCCAGCAGCCGCUGUAAUACGUAGGGUACUAGCGUUAAUCGGAAUUACUGGGGGUAGCGCCAUAAGACGCGUCGGAAAUCCCCGGGCUUAACCUGGGAACUGCGUUUGUGACUGUGGUGCUCGAGUGCGGCAGAGGGGGGUGGAAUUCCACGUGUAGCAGUGAAAUGCGUAGAGAUGUGGAGGAACACCGAUGGCGAAGGCAGCCCCCUGGGUCGACACUGACGCUCAUGCACGAAAGCGUGGGGAGCAAACAGGAUUAGAUACCCUGGUAGUC